GGCCUGGUGGUCUAGUAGUAUGAUUCCUUCUUAGGGCGCAAGCAAUUUGGAGGAGGUCCCGGGUUCAAUUCCCGGCCAGGCCC